rnacentral:rRNA from 1 species
CGGGUGCACUGAUCCAGCCGGGCCUUUCCCUCUGUGGAACCCCAUGGCCUUCACUGGCUGUGGUGGGGAAACAGGACUUUUACUUUGAAAAAAUUAGAGUGCUCCAGGCAGGCCUAUGCUCGAAUACAUUAGCAUGGAAUAAUAGAAUAGGACGUGUGGUUCUAUUUUGUUGGUUUCUAGGACCGCCGUAAUGAUUAAUAGGGACAGUCGGGGGCAUCAGUAUUCAAUUGUCAGAGGUGAAAUUCUUGGAUCUAUUGAAGACUAACUACUGCGAAAGCAUUUGCCAAGGAUGUUUUCAUUGAUAAGGAACGAAAGUUAGGGGAUCGAAGACGAUCAGAUACCGUCGUAGUCUUAACUAUAAACUAUGCCGACUAGGGAUCGGACGAUGUUAUUCUUUGACGCGUUCGGCACCUUUCGAGAAAUCAAAGUGCUUGGGCUCCAGGGGGAGUAUGGUCGCAAGGCUGAAACUUAAAGAAAUUGACGGAAGGGCACCACCAGGGGUGGAACCUGCGGCUUAAUUUGACUCAACACGGGGAAACUCACCAGGUCCAGACACAGUGAGGAUUGACAGAUUGAGAGCUCUUUCUUGAUUCUGUGGGUGGUGGUGCAUGGCCGUUCUUAGUUGGUGGAGUGAUUCGUCUGCUUAAUUGCGAUAACGAACGAGACCUUAACCUGCUAAAUAGCCCGUACUGCUUUGGCAGUUCGCCGGCUUCUUAGAGGGACUAUCGG